GGAUGAUGGCUUUGACUGAUCCUUGUCACUCUCAUUCAAUGUUGCUCUUAAGGGUAUUGGAUGAUGCUUUUAUCGAUCAGUGAUGGCUUUGAUGGACUCCUUCUUCUCUGUGCUACGUCUUCAUGGGUUUUGUUCUUCCUCUUAAGUCUUAAUACAUCUUUUACUUCUUUUUUUCCUAUAUAAGUGAAUUUUAAUCUCAGUCUCUCUUUUUGAUGCAGAUCGAGGAGGCACCUGGUUUACGGACUGUGUGGGAGGUUCAAAUGGAAAACAUUGUGGGAGGUUUAACUUUCAGAUGUUCUUGAUGUGUACACACACAUUCAGAUGAGAGAUGCUCCACAAAUUCUUUCCUAGACGAGAGGAGAGUUUGUUUUUAAGCUUUGUCCUUUGAUGUAGAUCCUCGAGGCAAUGGUAUUACUGUACAGGAGGUGGUGUGUUGGAAGUGAAUCAUGGAGGCUCCACCCGCUUCUGAAUUGAAUCGUCGUCACAGUCCAGGCACUAGGAUUGCUUUGUUGAAUUGAACUUUUAUCUUCUCGUCUAGAAUCAGAGGUUCUAUAGGAGAAAAGCUUCUAGCUAGCUCUACCAAUAUGAUUCAUACAAGUCAUAGAAGAGAGAACGUUGAACCAUUAUAAUGGCGACAAGAGAGCAAACAAGUCAGAGAGCGAGAGGUGUCUCAACAAGUUCGUGUUCUACUAAAUCCUCUGCUUCAUCAUUUGUCUGAGUGAUGAGUUAAGAUAUGAGUACUAAAUAAUCAUUUUUUGUUCGAUUUGAGGUUGAUCAAAAGUUGUCUGAUGAUGAAUCCAUAUGCACAAUGGCCAGAAAACUAGUCACACAGUUCUCUCAAGCCAAAGGCAAUCAUCAAAAAAGGGAGCUUUUUGGCUGCUCCAGCUUUGCCUGCACUGCGCCAUCAAAGAAGUUACACUACCACAUCUGCCAAAUUUUCAGCUUCGGUCCCUAGAAUCAGAUCAAGGAGAUGAUCACUCAAAAGUAGAGACUGUGUGAAACUUCCAUGUAUGAUAUACUAUGAGAAACGUCCAAGAAAAAGAAGACCUCAAGGUUUUGGGAAAAUCGUCAAUCACUAUUGUUUAAGGUCAGUUACUUUGAACCCUUGUUAUUGUUUCAUGAUAAAAAGCCGUGUUAGAACCAGUAGCCUACAACACAAAUGAACGCAAGCUCAAGAAAUAACAAGGUAACACCCAAAUUCAAAAAUACCCUUCAUCUAAGAGAGAGAGUAUCAUGACUUUAUAACAGACUCAUAGCUUAAAUGAAACAGUUUGACUAAUCUGCAAGGAUCUCAUUACUUACUGUUGCAGGAAUUUCAUAUAUUCAAACAAUGGCAAGGGCUACAAUAGCUUCAAAAAGUGUGUAAGCAGAUUUGAAGCUUCUUUUCACCCAUAUACAAGUUGUAUCUACGCAUAAAACACUUUAUAUUUCAUUCCAUCUGAUCUU